rnacentral:misc_RNA from 1 species
UCCGGCUUAUCACCGGCAGUUUCCUCAGAGUUCUCAGCAUUACCUGUUAGCAACAGAGGACGAGGGUUGCGCUCGUUGCGGGACUUAACCCAACAUCUCACGACACGAGCUGACGACAGCCAUGCAGCACCUGUGCACCUCCCACCCGAAGUGAAGGGUUCCAUCUCUGGAACCCAAAGAGGGCAUGUCAAAGCCUGGUAAGGUUCUUCGCGUUGCCUCGAAUUAAACCACAUGUUCCACCGCUUGUGCGGGUCCCCGUCAAUUCCUUUAAGUUUCAACCUUGCGGCCGUACUCCCCAGGCGGGAUGCUUAACGCGUUAGCUACGCCACCGAGAGGGAACCUCCCGACGGCUAGCAUCCAUCGUUUAGGGCGUGGACUAC